CUAUGUCUUCCCAGCCCACGCGCGAAUGCAGCGCUACCCAACUCACUCACGACUCGGUGCUGUUACUAUUCGGCCGUCCUCACGUUUCAUUAGAGCGCGCGAGACCUCGCUUUGCUUCGGCACACAUUAAAUUGCAUGUGGCGCAGUUUGUAUCAGGGUCGUGUUUAUGAACCGAGCUUAAUUGAGGUUCUCUAGGGUUAGUAAAUGUUAAUAACUUGCUUCGGAACACAAGUGUGAAUCUUUCUUUGUACUUUAACUUACUGAUACCAUUCUUCAGACAUUCAGGGACUAAACAACAGAGAGUAGCUGUACCAAUUCGGUCAUAGUGUGAAUUGAGAAGACACCACCCAAGCUUCUAUUAUUCAGGGAUAGCCAAUCAAGCAUUCAUACGGUAAGUACCCUCAGCACUCACAAAAGCGACAAAACUACUCUUUUCUGGCUGCCACGUGAGAACAUCCCUGAUCCCUUAAUAGUCUAACAAAAAAAAACCGCCCAUCUCUUGACAUGUCUGCACUUUUGAGAUCGACGCCAUUGUCAGAAAAUGGCAUUUAACAUUAAGAGAAUUGUCCCCAACACCCAGCUUGCAAUGUCCAUAAGAAAAAAAAAAUCAUCGUAGAGUUCAGAGAAAAUAAUUUGUAUUGCAUUAAACAUAAGGGCGAGUUCACUUAAGUGAUCGGGUUUCCCCGGUUUGAUAAAUAGACGUGUGCAUAUUUCAUGAAGAGACUGCAUGGCUAGUGAGAGUAAUCGUCAAUUGCGCAAAUUUCGGAGACUUAAAUAAAUAUCGUUGAUCCUGUCUAAAAACAUUUUUCCUUUACAAAUGCAA